rnacentral:sRNA from 1 species
GUUUUUCUAUAAAAAACAAAGUUGAUUUCGAACACAAUGAAGAUCAUAUGUGUUAUAACAAAAAAAAUCUUUAAAACUUUAUUACUUACACGAUAAUGCUUAUCUUGGCUCCAAACUUCGUAAAUAAACAAGAUCAACACUUCUUGAGCAUCAAUGUUUGUUCGCAAUUAAUGUUUGUUCCUGGGUUCAUCUUUAACUUAACAAUUAUUAUCAAUAAUUUUAUAAUAUUAUAACAUGUAAUGAUGAUUUUGCAUUAAUUCUAACAAGAAUCACGUCUAAAUUUUUUGGGCCAUUAAAUGUUGAUGUCAUUUCGUUUUUAAUGGAAAAAAUCUCCCUUCUAACUGUACAUCCAAACCCUCAACGUGAAACAAAAAUAAUUUCAACUAAACCGGAACAGUGUACCUAACUAAACCUGACUAACUAAACCGUACAUUCAACAGUUUCUCAGCUGUAGCAGCAAGGGCAAAAUGGUCAAAUUUCAGCUGAAAAGACAAAACGUGAAACCACUUUUCACUUUGUCAAUCCUUGAAAUAUUACCCUUAUAUAAAUCGUACAUAACUGAACCAACUUUGGAAUUAACAACCAAACUCUUAGUAAAAUAUUAAUACUGAUAACAUCUGCUCAGAGUUAAAGAUCAGUUCCGAUGUAUAAAGUCAACUAUUCAAGUCUUUUGUUCUCUCUCUCUAUCUCUCUUAAUCCAGCUGUAGUGAAUAAAAAACUAGUUCAGGCUUGGAGCCAGCCAUAACCUAAGCACGAUUAUGAAUCCAACAUAAUUAUAAAUGAUUAAUUAUUAAUAAAUUUUGUUAAGCCAGAAGAAUUACAAGCAUUUGUAAGCUACUAUAUC